rnacentral:lncRNA from 1 species
CUGUCACUAUUUUAACAUUCUCCAUCAGCUGUGGCCAUGUUGGAUUUCUGGCACCUGAGCAUUCACAUCCAUCUGUUUAUAGGGCAUUAUGCCCACUCAUGAGGUUUAUUCCAGUUUCAAAAAGUCAUGUGUAAACCAAGAUUGGAAAUAUAUAUUCCUUGAGAAAUAGAGACACAGACACACAAGGGAGAGUGCCAUAUGAAAAUGGAGGCAGAAUGGAGUGAUGCAUCUACAAGCCAAGGAACACCAAAAAUUGCCAGCAACUACUAGAAGCUAGAAGAGGCAAGAAAGGACUUUCUAGAGCCUUUGGAAAGCAUGAUUCUGCCACAUCUUGAUUUUGGACUUCCAGCCUCUAGAACUGUGAGAGAGUAAGUUUCCAUUGUUUUAAACCACCCAAUUUGUAUUAAUUUGUUAUAGAAGCCCUGGGAAACAAAUAAACUACUUUAGAUCAGUUAGGAAGGCUUCUUGAACUAUAUGACAUUUAAACAGAGACAUAAAUGAUGAGACUGUCCCAGCCAAGUUAAAAAUAUCACUGGGAAUCAAACUCACUGGUGUUAUUCCAGCUCAGUGGUAAAUGUUCUACUGGUAUUUUAAAUAAUUCUAAAAUAAAGUCAUUAUUUUUCUUUGCA